UGAGGAACAUGACCUUCGGCGGGGGAUAGCCGGCCCAACGGCCGGGUAAUACCGCGUACGACCACAUGGGGACAUCCCUGAGUGGUGAAAGCAGCAAUGCGCCGAUGGAGUGCCUCGCGGCCUAUCAGCUAGUUGGUGAGGUAACGGCUCACCAAGGCAACGAUGCGUAGCCGACCUGAGAGGGUGAGUCCGGCCCACUAGUUUAGGGAAACCUUGGAACGGUAAACCCGGUAACCCCGGGGGUUUACCCCCAAAGGUAACCCCCGUUUCGGUUAAACCCGGGGGGGAACGGG
rnacentral:rRNA from 1 species